rnacentral:sRNA from 1 species
GUUAUUAGUUAUUAAUAAAAUAGUAAACCAGGUAUAUAAAAUAAACAGAAAACCCCGUUACUGCGGAUGCAGUAACGGGGUUU